rnacentral:lncRNA from 1 species
AUGUAUGCUGCACAUCUGGAUGUAGAUAACCACCUUGGAUUAUUACCUUUAGUGACGCACUGCCCCUCAUCUCUUGUUCCCAUGACGACAAUAGUUAGACCACCUCGUGGGAUUUUUCCCUAUAUAAGUGUACCCUGUCCCCGAAAUAAAUUGGACUUGCUUGCAACUGCUUCAAGUCUCACGUCUAGUGCUUACACUUUCGCCGACGCCGUCUCUCCCACGAGAACCUGGACUCUGCCGAGGCUGGACCCCGGCAUCACUGUUCUUGUUUUACAGGAGCUGUAUAACUUGGAGAAAUUACCAUGAAGAAUUUUUAGAUGGCAAGAUCUUCUGUUAAAUACAAAUACUUAGUAUUCAUCACAAACUUUACAGUAAUUAAUUAAUAGAUAGUAUAGAGUAUGAUAAUCAGUAUUGUUAUCAAUUUAUAAAGAAGCAAUGUAUCAGUCUAUGAAUACAAAAUAGAUUAGUAACACUUGUUAAUAUUCUAUGCACUAAGAGUUUUUGUCCUCUUCAGUUCCCUCUUAAGAAUGAAUUACAUGCAAACAAAAGGAGAUUUAUGCAUAAUCAGAUAGAAUUUUAGAAGAAAUAGGGACUAGAUAAUAAUUCAUUAAAGGCAAUGAUAAUAUUGAAUUAAAGUCAUAUAUUCAUAGUUCUUAUCUCUGAAAAUAACCCAAAUCAACAAGGAGGAAAAAAAAGAACAAUAAGGAGACUCUUAUGAAACCAGUCAAGUAUAACUCCAAACUUUAGUUCUGAGUAAUGCUAUCUGCGGAAUGAACAUCAAACCAGGAAACAAUAAGGGAUCAGGAAUAUUUGCAGGCCUGUCAAGACAGGCCUCAAUACCAAAUGGAAUCCUCAGGUGAAAACACUGAAUUGCAAAUGAGUUUGGAUUCAAUGAGGAAAUGAAUAUGUACCUUAUAAGCAAUCAGAUCAAACCAAACCAACUGAACAACCACCAACCAACCAUGUUUCCACCAACAACUAAAUGUACAAAAACCAUCUAAAAGCAUUUGUCUGUCUUCUGUGACAUAUUGGGGAGAAAACAGUAGAUGUUAAUCAGUUUGCCAGCUAAAUUUCCUAGUGAGAGGAAUUGAAGUAAGUGUUAGAAAACCAUAGUAAGGAUCUAUAACAUACUGGCGUUCACUCUGACUCACACAGAUAUCUUGCUGGAUAGGAAGGAGAUAUAUCCACAAGGUAGAGUAUGUGUGAGAUGGUGUUGGGUGCUAGCCUAGCAAAAUUCAAAUAAUCUUCAUCUUUAGUUCACUCCAUGGGAUAGUCACUUCUAUGUUCUUACAAAUGGAUGAUUCACAAUAAAUCUUACAUAUUCAAGGAAGAAUGACA